UGGACAAAAAAUGACCAAAUAGGGAGCAAAAAUUUGACGCAUUGGCGAUUAGGAGAUAUGCGAAGGCUUUUUAACCAACUAAGAGGUCAAUUAUUCAAUUAAAGGACUGAAAAAAAUACCACAUCAAAAGACUUCUCAAGGAACCUAACAUCGAUGUCUCCUGUUUCGAUGUUGUGUUACUUGACAUUCUAACUGGUUGAAGAUCUAUGGACAAAAAAUGACC
rnacentral:lncRNA from 1 species